rnacentral:rRNA from 1 species
CAAAACACAGCUCAGUUCAGAUUGUAGGCUGAAACUCGCCUAUAUGAAGUCGGAAUUGCUAGUAAUCGCGGAUCAGCAUGCCGCGGUGUAUACGUUCCCGGGCCUUGUACACACCGCCCGUCACACCAUGAGAGUCGAUAACACCCGAAGCCUGUAGUCUAACCGUUAGGGGGGACGCAGUCGAAGGUGGGAUUGAUAAUUAGGGUGAAGUCGUAACAAGGUAUC